GUUAAGCUGAAACCUCCGCCCGGAGGAUGCAGACCCUACAGGAAGAACAGACAAGGUGCAGACCCACUUGGGGGCUGGUGUCUGCUUACAGGUGCUCACUGUCGACUCCUCUGUCCCCCAGUGAUGCCGUGCUUGGGACCUGAGCCUGUGCAGUGGAGUUAUUUAUCUUGGGCCCUUACAGUAAGGGUAGAGUCCUGUGAGUCCCCAGCUUCACAAAGACAUCUCCAAAAGACCCUCUGCUUGGGCCGGCAUAUAAUCCUCGCUGUUGUUUACCUUUGGCACUGAUGGCGUGGGUCACCCUGUCUGUCAUGAAAUCCUUUGAGGGCUGGUGUUCCGGAGGCUCACGUGAGAGGCAUCCAACAAAUGCCACCUGCAAGGGGAGCCUGAAAGAUCAUGGAUCUUCCAACAGGGAGCGUGGGCAGAGGGACCUCACGGCCAUUCUCCUCUUCCGGUCCCCUUGCUGGAAGGACAAAGGCCAGGGGUCUUAGUCACUUUCCUCGUUGCUGGGACACACUGCCUGAUGCUCACAACUGAAAGGAGGAAAGGUUUGGAGAUGUUAGUCCACAGGCGGCCGGCUCCCCGGCAGGGCGGCAGGGCGGUGGGGCAGAGGGCCCUGGCAGAGGAGAGCUGUGCAUGGCCUGGUAUCCAGGAGGUAGAGAGAUCAAGGAGGAGCCAGGCCACACCCCCAGGUGCCCCCCUCGUGGAUCAGCCCCUACCCCCAGCAGCAUACAGCCGUACUGCCCCAUAAUCCAGUCACCUCCAGAAGCCCCACCAUGAGUGCCUGAGGCUCCCAGGGACAUACAGCUGUAAACCAUACACCGGGCCAGCGAGCCUGCUGCACUCCGAAUUCCGGGGCUCCGGGCCCAGGUGCCUGAGGAUGGGAACCCUGAUUGUGUUUCAGGGUUGUUCCUGAAUACCAACUCCAUCCUGGGAUUUGUUGGGAGGUACCAGUCCCUUGAGAGGAAAAGAGGAGAGCCCUUGCCUGCAGGGACCUGCAGUCCUGACCCUGGCCAUCCUGGAAAGCAGAUCCUGCUACGAGCCGGGAAGGUGCUGGGCCCAGGCACGGGCCACUCCCACACGCUCCCACACCCGGGUUGCCACCUCGCUCCCCAGGAUGGCUCCAGCUGGGUGGCAGAAGCUGGACCAGGAGGCAGGGAGCCCACGUGUGCGAGGCAGGGGUGGAUGCCCCUCCCCCAGUGUCCCUGGGAGAAGCCAGGAGGGAGGCGAAGACUUCCUGUCCACGUUCGAGAGACCCUGGGCUCUGCCUCCUGCCCCAGCGCAGUAGCCUCCUCUGAGCACCAGGUCCCAGGACGGAGGAGGAGGAGGAGGAGGGGGAAGGGGAG
rnacentral:lncRNA from 1 species